AGCUCCAAUAGCGUAUAUUAAAGUUGUUGCAGUUAAAAAGCUCGUAGUUGGACUUCUGGCAGGGCGCCGCGUGCCACAUCGUGCGUACAAGGGCCCGGCCAUCCUUCUGUAAACGUCGCGGACGUUCACUCGUCCGCGGUGGGACCAGUUAAUUUACCUUGAGAAAAUUAGAGUGUUUCAGGCAGGCGUAGCCGGAAUACAUUAGCAUGGAAUAAUGGAAUAGGACUUAGUCUCUUUGUUGGUUCGAGGGACUGGAGUAAUGAUUAAUAGGGAUAGUUGGGGGCAUUAGUAUUUAUUAGCUAGAGGUGGAAUUCUCUAAUUUGAUAAAGACUAACUUAUGCGAAAGCAUUUGCCAAGGAUGUUUUCAUUA
rnacentral:rRNA from 1 species